GAUCAGUGGGGUGUGGGAGAUCAGUGGGGUGAGGGUGGGAGAUCAGUGGGGUGAGGGUGGGAGAUCAGUGGGGUGAGGGUGGGAGAUCAGUGGAGUGAGGGUGGGAGAUCAGUGGGGUGAGGGUGGGAGAUCAGUGGGGUGGAGAGGGUGGGAGAUCAGAGGGUGUGAGGGUGGGAGAUCAGUGGGGUGAGGGUGGGAGAUCAGUGGG